rnacentral:rRNA from 1 species
AUUGAGACUUCGGUUGAAAGAAGGAGUGGAAAGCGGCGGACGGGUGAGUAACGCGUAGGCAACCUGCCCCAUACACAGGGAUAGCCUCGGGAAACCGGGAUUAAAACCUGAUAACACAUGUUUAUCACCUGAUAGAGAUGUCAAAGAUUUAUCGGUAUGGGAUGGGCCUGCGUCUGAUUAGCUAGUUGGUGAGGUAACGGCUCACCAAGGCGACGAUCAGUAGCCGACCUGAGAGGGUAAACGGCCACAUUGGGACUGAGACACGGUCCAGACUCC